rnacentral:rRNA from 1 species
UACAGAGGUCUCAAACGUUGUUCGGAUUCAUUGGGCGUAAAGGGUGCGUAGGUGGCGCUGUAAGUCGGGUGUGAAAUUUCGGAGCUUAACUCCGAAACUGCAUUCGAUACUGCGGUGCUUGAGGACUGGAGAGGAGACUGGAAUUCAUGGUGUAGCAGUGAAAUGCGUAGAGAUCAUGAGGAAGACCAGUGGCGAAGGCGGGUCUCUGGACAGUUCCUGACACUGAGGCACGAAGGCCAGGGGAGCAAACGGG